UGUCCCCUCCCUUGCGGAACUGGAAGUGCAGAAGUUGAACAUAAUUCAGGGAUUGGUAUACUGCUUCACCUGCUCAAGAAAAUGCACAUUUAACUAUGCUUGCAUAUGAGAGUCUGCAGUCACUAAAUCCUGCCAAGCUUGGGAGCAACUUACUUCUGAUGCCAAAAUCCCACCGGUUAGGAGAGAAGACAGGACACAGAAGCAUGAGUUUGAAAGCUUCAGUCUGUUCCUCUGCUGGCAAGACCCUGGACAAAGUCUCUUCAAUGACAAUCACCUGAUGUUAGUUCUGUAGUGAAGAGGAAAAACCCAAAAGGGCAAAAUAUCCUUGGGAGAGUGAAAAUACUGAUCUAUACCUUUCAGAACAGAUCAAUAUAGGGAGGGUACUGACA